rnacentral:lncRNA from 1 species
GAGAUUACAGGCGUGAGCCACCACGCCUGGCUGACUCUCCUGCUUUAUAAGCAAGGCUCUGCAAGGGGGAAGUAGCUUCCAUUCAUUCUUCUCAGCUUGCCUGUCCUUGCUUGGAACUCGCACCCUAUAUGUGAGCUGCAAUAAGGGCAACUGGGGCUCCACUACUCUCAGUCUGCUACACCUGGGAUAGAGCCACUGCUCUGUGAAUGCAGUCUGAAAGGAGGAAAGGAGUCCCCAGUCUUUCCAUUCUCCAGGCCACACUCAUCUGGAAUUUAGCCUUUGCAACAGAACAUGAGAGCGGGUAGAAAUGCUGGCAGCUUGUCCCUCCAGGGAGAUACACAAUAUGGUUUGGAUGUUUGUCCCCUCCAAAUCUCAUGAUAAAAUGUGAUUCCCAAUGUUGGAGGUAGGGCCUGGUGGGAGGUGAUUGGAUCAUGGAGGUGGAUCCCUCACGAAUGGUUUAGCACCAUCCUUUUGGUGCUAAGUGAGUUCUUGUUCAGUUAGUUCACACAAGAUCUGGUUGUUUAAAAGAGUCUGGGACGUCCUCUUUCUCUCUCUUGCUCCCUCUCUCACCAUGAGAUGUGCUGGCUCCCCCUUCACCUUCUGCCAUAAUUGGAAGCUCCUGAGGCCUCACUAGAAGCCAAGCAGAUGCUGGUGCCAUGCUUCCUAUACAGGCUGCAGAACCAUGAGCCAAUUAAACCUCUUUUCUUUAUAAAUUACCAAGCCUCAGGUCCUUCUUUAUAGCAACACACGAGUGGACUAACACAGAAAAUUGGUACCAGGAUUGAGGCAUUGCUACAAAGAUGUGGAAGUGGCUUUCAAACUGUAAACCAAAAGGUAUCUAGAACAAAUCUCAAUCAAUUUAGAAAGUUUAUUUUGCCAAGGUUAAGGACACACUGGUGACACAGCCUCAGGAGGUCCUGAAGACAUGUGCUGAAGGUGAUUGGGUUGCUUUUGUACAUUUUAAGGAGACAUGAAACAUCAAUCAAUAUGUGUAAGAUAUACAUUGGUUUGGUCCGAUUAGGCAGGACAACUUCAUUUAGAAGUUUUAUUCCUAAAUAAGACAUUGUUCUCAGCUUGACUUUUCCCUUGGUUUAGUGAUUUUGUGGUUCUGAGAUUUAUUUUCCUUUCAUAGAGUAAUGAGCACAGGAGUAAUGAGCAGAGGCUGGAAGAGUUUGAAGGGCUCAGAAGACAGGAAGAUGAGGGAAAGUUUGGAAUUUCCUAAAGACUGGUUAAAUGGUUGUGACCAAAAUGCUCAUAGUCCUCUACUGGGAUUUGGGAGAAGAAGGAGCCCCAUCUUCUUGGCCAUACCCACCUGUGUGGAACUUUCCUCAAGGUGGGCAAGGUGGUAGAAGCAGCAAGUCAUGUGAGGCAUGAGUGGCAUGUGAGGCAUGAGUGGCAUGUGAGGCAUGAGUGGCAUGUGAGGCAUGAGUGGCAUGUGAGGCAUGAGUGGCAUGUGAGGCAUGAGUGGCAUGUGAGGCAUGAGUGGCAUGUGAGGCAUGAGUGGCAUGUGAGGCAUGGUACUUGAGAGUACCUCUGACUAACUAUUGCUGUUCUUACCAAGAUGUAGUAGAUUUUCUUGAAUAAACAGUUCUUCAUUUGCUGUAUAACCUUUGGGCAGUUUCAAUAAACUUUAAAUGGUUGUUUUUAAAGUGCUUCACCAGUUACAGUUGUUUCAUGGGGAGUGAGGCCACAGAGCUCUUUAAGCUGCCAUUCUGCUAGGUAUGCAUUUAAAGGCAUAACUCCUAUCUUCAGGUUGCUCAUCAUUUAGUACAGAACAAUUCACUUCAAGUACAUAAGUACAAUUUUAGUGUGAUUAAUACCGUGCAAGAGUUAAACACCACACAAAAUGGGAACACUGAGGAGAAUCUCCUAAUCCAGUCCCUGAGAGGAUAGGCUUUCUAAAGUAGAAAUGAGUUGUGAAAAAUGCAGGAAAUUAAGGAGAUGAAGAUGAAAUAAGAAGGGUGUUGCAGACACAGAGAGAAAGCAACUACAAAGGACAAAGAGGUCAGAGAGCGUGUUAGAAGGUUACAUCACUGGGACACAGGACGCAAGGGAAAGAAGUUAGCAGAAUUUGGACAAAUAGGCAAGAGGUCUCAAGGCCUGGAAUGCCUUGAGUUGGAAGAUUUUUCUCCCUGGAUUUCUCAGUGCUCCUGAACCGUUUGAGUAAAGGAUAACUAGAUAUCAAUCUUAAAGAAGAAAAUUCGGAAGAGAUCUAGAGACUUCUCUCACUUGGAACCAUUUAUUUACAUUCCAAGGUGGUAAAGGAAAAUUAAAGACCUGCCCUUUCUCUCUCACUAUGAUUAUGUUAUUUCUAUAUUUCAAAUGUUCUCAAUGGGAACAGUAUAAUGAAUGUAAAACAGUAGUUGUCCUUGGAGGUGGAGUGCCAAAGGACUUUACUUCUUACAUAAUUCAUUUCUGUAUCUUUAUAACAUUUUACAAGGAAUAUGAUUACUUUUGUUAACAGGAAAAAAGUAAUUUUAAAAUUUAGUAGCUAUUGGCCGGGCACAGUGGCUCACUCUCGCCUAUAAUCCCAGCACUUUGGGAGGCCAAGGCAGGUGGCUCAGCAGAGGUCAGGAGUUUGAGACCAGCCUGGCCAACAUAGUGAAACCCCAUCUCUACUAAAAAUACAAAAAUUUGAGGCAGGAGAAUCGCUUGAACACAGGAGACAGAGGGUGCAGUGAGCCGAGAUCGUGCCACAGUACUCCAUCCUGGGCGACACAGUGAGACUCAAUUUCAAAAAAACCCACAAAAACCCAAAAACCAAAAUAAUGGGUACACUUGUGUGUGUGUGCGUGUAUGUAGAGGUACAGCUGAAAAAAAGAUCAUCCAUGAGUUGACCCCUGUUAAAGCUUGCACUGUGGGUGAUAUUGUGAUGACACACAGAUGUCUCAGGAAUGAACCACUUACUCUCCAAGCUGCUGGAAGUGCAGCAGAAGAUGGUCUUCAGCUGUCAGCCCUUUCUGGGGAUUGUCUCAGGUGAAGAAACCUGCCUUACUAAAGGUCAUGUCUCCUGGGGGCAGCCCACAUCAAGGGACUGAUCAGUGUAGGGGUGUAAAGGCCUCCAUACUCCCUGUAACUUGGGACAAGUCUCAAGGGCUAUUGCAGUUCCAGAGCUCCCCAUGUGGCUGCUAAAGGCUUUGUUGGGACUGCUCCUCAGCUGUUUCUCCCUCUGCCUACUUCUGUUCUUUCUCUUCCACAUGUGUUGAAAAGCACUCCCCAAUAAAUCACCUGAAAUCUCCAUCUCAGAGUCUACUUCCCAGAGAACACAAAUUGCAAAGACACUUUGGCAUCAUUAUAGUCUCUUUACUUUUGUACAUGUUCAAGUUUCCAUAAUUAUAAUUUAAGAAAAGCAAAGGACUGUGUCAGACUAUAUAUGGUAGAUAAGGGAGUAGUGACAAGUGACCUCUAGGGUUCUGGUUUCAGACUGAAUGGUGCCAUUCCUUGAGCAGGAGAUGCAAGAGGAGAAGCCAUUUGGAAGACAAAUAAGGAGUUAAUUUUUGACAUGCCAAAUUUGGGGCGCCUGCGGGGAGCACCCUGGGCUGGAGACGGUGAUUAUCAAGCUGGAGACAGUCCAUGAAAAGGAAAGGUAACGGUGGCUUGGAACAUCUCAAAGGGCCAAUAAAAACUCUAUUUAGAUUUCAACUGUGUUUGCACAAGUACAGUUGAAUUUGUGAAUACCUCACAGAAUGGGAAUUAACUGCACCCUUGAUAGCAGGCACCAUAUUCUAGAAUAUUUAUAUCACCUAGAGGUCUUAGAAUAAUAUCUUGUACUCACUCAACACUACUCAUUGAUUGAAUGGAUCUCCCUGGAAGAGCUAGAAAAUGGUUCUGUUCCCCACUUUGUUCCUCUGAUCAUAAUUCUUCUCUAGUCUCUGACACACCUGAAAUCCUCUCCACCUUGGAUCAUGUGUGAGUUGUUUUUGCGCAUGCAGAGUGGAAGGCUUUAGGACGGAUCAAAGAUGAGUCAGAUGGGAACCAUGCUCUGAAGAAACUAAGAGUUUAGUACGAGGGAUAAGACAUGCAAAAAUUAUAAGGUUAAAAAAAGAGAAGUGAGAAAGCUAAAGAGGAAGUGAUAAGGAAAUUCACAGGAAUGAUAAAUAUUUGCAGUUGGGAAAACUCUAAGUAAGAGGCAAAGGCUGAUGCAAAGUACCUCCCAGGCUGUAUUGGCUCCUUUCUAAUUUUCCGUAUUUGUAGCUCACUUUCUUUAGGUUUUUGCUUUAAUAUUCUACCAGCAGAUUAGGGAGUCAGGCAACAGUUUAUGACUUCUGUCCAGCUUGUUUCUGUACGCCUAUGAAAGAUUUUGUCAUAGCAGUUGUAUGUAGAACCGUUUUUAAAAAUCCAUUUCAGAGGAAAUAAUAUUAUCCAGUCAUAUUUGGAAAGGAUCUCUACAUAAAACAGGGUUUUUAAUGUUAAUAUUUCAAAGAUCUUUAAAAUUAGAUUUUACUUCACAGAAUCCUAAUCUACUUGUCUGACUUUACACAGUGUUUCUCUACUUUGUAAAAAGCAUGACCCUUUGUGAUAAAUAUUACAGCCCCACCAGCCUGCUCUCUUCUAUGGAAAAUUGUCCAUCUAUAAUGAUUAUGCAUCCGUAGGACCAAAAGAAUUAUGGCACUCUCAUUAAAGGGCACCUCCCUGAUUAGACACGAACACACACACAUAUGAUAAGUGAGGCUACAGAUCAGUUUUUAUUAGUAAAAAAGUAUCUAAAACACCUCAACUACUUUUGAAAAGUGUACCUUUGCUUUCUAUAAAAUGCUAUUUGAGGAAACCACAAACAAUGAAUUUUCCUGAAGGAAACAAAUGAAAAUAAAAUGUAAAAUGUAGUGAGCUGUGGAUAUGCAGAGGCGAAGUUAUUUAUUCUAAAUACCUGGCUUUGUACUUUAUAAUACAUUGUGCAAUCUGAACAUACCAAUUAUUACAGAGAUUAAGGCUCCAAGCUUUUUCCGUACUCUAUACACUCAUCUCCCUUCUGUCCAACAAGAUUAUCUUCUCCCAAAGGAUUCUCAAUAGCUGGCAUACAAUAAAAUCAAAACAGUAAAAAGCCCAAAAAACCACCCCCCACAAAACCACCAAAAUAAAAACGGCACCAAGUGGGAUAAAGUUUCGAGAUCCUUAACUAGGCAUAUCUCAACGUGCUUUAUUUAAAAUAAACGAACUCUUUGAGUGCCUUAAGAGGAAUAUAUUUAAAUAAACAUAGAACUCCUCUAUUUUUGAUUAGAUGUCUAAUUUUUUUUAAAAAAGUAUUAUAUAACUAACCACUAUCCAAUCUGUUAGAACUCAACUUUUUCUAUUCUACAAAGAAAAAGCUUCAUACCCCAAAGCAUUUGCUUGGGAAUUUCGGGAGGCAGCUCUUCCGCAAUACAUCAAGUCCCAUUCGCCCACGCCCCCCCCAUCUAAAAAACAAAGUUUGGGGAAGCACUAGGCUUCCGACUUUGACAAGUCCCAGAAGACAAAGCCCAGGGCUGACCCCCCACGCCUGGCGCCGCCCGUUCGCAGGCCAGGAGCGGCCAGGGCCUCCCGCAUGCGCUCCCACACGUACGCGCAGCGGGCAGCAGCCACCCCACAGCGUACACGAAAGUCGCCUUGCGCGGCUGGAGCCCUGGAGCCCACGGCCGGGGCCGCGGGCGGGGCCCGGGACUGCGGUGCUGCGCCCGAGCACGUACUGAGGCGUGGCCUGCCGCGCGCCGGGCGGGGCUCGGGAAGUUUCUCGGGUUGGCUUGGGUUUCGCAUCCUCAUCAUGUAGCGCCAGCCACACCAGGAACAGAAGGGUGCCGGGUACCUUCCGCAUGCUUGGUAUUCUCCCCGCGGGGCUCUGACCGCUGCCGCUCUCAGGCACCUGUCUUUCCUCUCCGUCCCAGAAUGGAGCCAAGACAAGGGAAUAAACGAAAUUCAAUAGUACACGGAGAUCGGGUGUCUGGGCAGCGUCUUGGAAAAACUAUCCACUACAGGUAAGAAUAAAAAUUAUGUCCAAACCUCUGAAAGGUGUGAACACAUCAAAGCUCCAGAAGGCGUUCAUAGGAAGGUUUAUGGUAAAGUAUAACUUUUAUCCUACAGGGAGACUAUUUUUGUAUCGAAUUCCACUAAUUUCACUAUUUCUCUGUAAAAUAAUCUGGGACGACAGGUUCAUCUCUAUUUAAAGGAACGAAAUGUGAGCAAAGUGGUUAGUGGAAAACUUAAAAAAAAAAAAGUAAAAGUUUUUUUCUUUACAUUUUUGUUGGUUCCAGCUGGCAACACGUUUGCAAAGGUUUUAUUUAACCAAAUCUUAAUGUUGAAAAAAAGAAAAAAAGAGGAUUCUUUACUCUGCAACUUGUUUUAGGUAUUGCUACUUAAACAUUUUGAACUUUUAGAUUAAGUUUCUACAAAGCGAGUAAUUUUAAGUUCAUCUUUUCUGUACAGAGGCUUCUAGGAGGAAAAUAAGAUUUGGAAUGAUAAUCGUGAGGUUAUAAAAACUUAAACAUAUCUAUUAUGCCAUUAAGUCAAAACAGCUCUGGGAAAAAAUACCAUACAUUGAUACAGUCUUUUAUAGUUUGUGCUUUCCCAUUCACUACCUUGUUAAUUUGAGUUAAUGUCUCCAUAACUGGAUAUCUCAAUCUCUAGUUCAAAUUCAGAACCCACUAAAUGGCACUUGAAAACACUUUUAUUCAUUUCUAUUUAUGCCCUGCCACUCCUCUUAGGACAUUCCCUCAAUGUUAUGUGAUCUCAUUACUUUCAAGUGACAUCGGAUCCUCAGUUUUCCACACCUCCAUUGCCGCCUUCUGUUUGCUAUUUAAACAAACAGUUAACAAUGGAGAAAAGGGUAUGUUCAACUGGAUUGGCUAGCACUGCAGGGUGGUUAGCUCCAUGGACUUUGGAGUCACUCAUGGCCACCUCAAAAGCUCCGAGCCUUAGAUCACUUCUUCAAGACUAUAUACUGUAUAGAUAUACUCCUCCCUUAUCUGGUACUGCUAUGAAUGAACUAUAUAUAGCAUUUAGAUCUCAAAUGAAGAUUUACCCAAGCUCUAAAAGUAAUAGAUGGCAGACCAGAAAUGUAAGCUUAAGUCUCCUGACUCUAAAGUCAAACUUAGAACAAACUUGGUUUGUUUUUUAAUGAUACUGCAUUAAAAAAAUUAAAAUAGCUUUAUUCUUUUUCUCCUGUAUUUUUAUGGAAUAGCUACAUUUCUUUUAUACUCAGAACAUACAUUCUCAUUUUUCUGGGUUAUGAGUAUAAAAGAAAUACAGCUGUUUCAUAAAGUAAGGAUUAUAGUUGCCAGGGUUGGGUUAUAAGCCUUGGACAAAACCAUUAUGAAGAAAUUUGUGACGGUGCAUAAAAUUGGGAAGGGCCAGUUCUGCUAUUCCGUAGCUUAAAGCACUCCAAGGAGCUUGUUGUCUUAGUGACUGAGCAGUGGGUAAGUACUUGCUUCCUUCCAGCUGUACUGUCCUUUAACGUGGCUUUCCCUUCUCAAUGCUUUCAGAAGUCAUUUUCCUGAACUCCUGGUCAUUACAUAAUCUGCUUUUACAAAUAGUUUUCAACUGAAGCUAAUUUGCUAUACAAGAAUAAUUUUUUGUUUUGUGACCUGUGAAUACUAAGCAACCACUUUAUUCUAAAAUACCACUUCUAGUAUACUACUAUCUGUAACUAAAUGUUGAAGCACUUUGGGUCACAGUGUUUGUGCUUAAGUAUACCUGUGCCCCCCCCCCCCCCAAAUUUUGCACUGAAUCUUAGUAUUAACUUUUGUUCCAAAAUUUUCAUAUAAUUGUAAUCACUGUCCUCCAUUGUAAGAUAAAAAGAGCUACCUAAGAGAUCUGUGGCUCAGUUCCUUUUGUUCAGUAUAUAUACCUCAGGGUAAAGGACCUAAGGCUCUGGCACUUCCUACAUAAUUUGUUCAUAAAAAUAAUUUUCUGUACCUGUAGGUGCAGGGAUUCAUAGUGAUUUUUCUGUUUUAAAAAAUAUCUUUCUACACUGUCUGAUUUUUAAAAAUGAGAUUAUCAGUAUAAAAGAAAUACAGCUAUUUUGUAAAAGAAAAAUACAGGAGAAAAAGGAUAAAGCUACUUUGUUUUAAAACGCAGUAUCAUUAAAACAAAAACAAACCAAAUUUGUUCUAAGUUUGACUUUAGAGUCAGGAAACUUAAGCUUACAUUUUUGGUCUGCCAUCUAUUACUUUUAAAGCUUGGGCAAAUUAUUCAUUUGAAGUCUAAAUUUAUUAAUCUGUUAAUGGGAACAGAUUAGAAAUCUUCAGAGAAGCUCUAGCCUUUGUAACAUUGUGACUAUAAUGCUGAGAACUGCUUCACUCAUCCCAUUCAUAUUUUAAAAAUACUAAUAUUUUGUGUUUGAGCAUUUUAAUAGGCUCAGAAACUUAAAAAUGAUGUUUCUUUUCUAACAACAUACUCUUUUCAAUGGGAUAUUAUGGUUGUUAUUAUUUAACAUGACAUUUAGGGACUCAACAUACAUUAAGGUGAUGGCACUAAGAUAAAUGUAGAAAUAACCAGUACCAUGUAAUUUUCAUAAGUGCUUAAAUUGUUGGUAAACAAUUUUAUGAGUUGGAGGUGUUGAAGCAAAUAUUAUUAAUAUUUGAACAUAAAAGCUGAUCAAAGGGGCCUGGUCCACAGAAGAUGUUUAUUUGAUGUAACAAAACAAUACAGUUAGUGUUAGAUCCAACCACAAAGAGCAAAAGGAAUGAAAAAUUUGUACAAUGUACAUAGAAAAAACAAGAUAUUUACUGUGACAACUAUAUAUUCCUAAAAUAAUGCUUCUAAAAUUACUCAAUUAUUGAAAUCUACAUGAAAAAAAGGAUGUUAAUAGCGACAAAGUGCAUAAAAUCAAACUGCAAUGCAAUGGUUUAAAUACCAAAAAACUGAGAAA